rnacentral:tRNA from 1 species
GGCCUAAUAGCUCAACUGGUAAAGCCAUGCACCAGCAUUGCAGAGGUCAGGGUUUGAGUCCGGUUUGGCCU